rnacentral:lncRNA from 1 species
GUCAUCGUCAAUGUAAGCACCCCCUUCAUCGUCGACGCCAACAAUUGCUGCCUGUGAACAGAAAAUCCAAUGCCGCUGAACUCGCCUCCCUCUCCUACCACACUCCAUCAGGUUGAGAAUGUAAAUAGUUGUGUUCGUAUUUUAGCUACAUUUUUCUAUGUCUUCUUCUAAAAUGUUGAAUUUUUCAGCGGUCAUCAUCUUCUAAAGUUUUGUUUCUGGAUUUACCUUUACUUAUUUUGUAUUCUUCUAAAUUCCUUGUCACCAAUGUUGAAUGAUAUGAUGUGCAUAAUAUGAUUUUGUUAGGUAGAGUGUUGAAUUUUUUAGGAGUCGCCGUCUUCUGAAGUUUUGUUUCUGGAUUUAGGUUUUUUUUUUUUUUUUUUUUUUUUUUUGUAUUCUUUUGAAUUUAAUGUCCCCAUUGUUGAAUGAUAUGGUCUGAAUAAUAUGAUUUAUGGUUACAAAUUUGCACACAGAAUCAAUUCAUUUGUUAACGAGCUUAGGUUGUUGCUAAGGUUUUUCACAUGGAUAAUGAGGUUUAGGUUGUUGAUGUGGAAUUUUGCAACUGAGAUGAAUUCAUCUUUGUUUAUUUGUUUGUCCAGCCCGAAUCGACUGCAAUGAGAGGAAGGAAUUCAAAAGUUUGUCACGGUUGCAAAAGCAACACUCAUUACUUUACAAUGCAAAACAAAGAGCCAAUGCCCUUCGUGUAAACAUGGAUAUCGCAAGUGUUUUGAGGUUGAACGGGAUACUAGUAACAAAGGGCAAUUGUUCUUUACCUGUUGUAAUGAUUGUGGAUAUUUUAACUGGGUGAAAGAAGAAGCGGUGAAUUAUGAGUCCAACGUGGAAGAUUAAGAUUUGCCAAGACUCUUUGACGGUCUAGCUCGAAUUAGGGAGAAACGAGGUGUGGACAUAUCAAUGCACUUGAGCUUCAGCAAGGAAAAGGGCAUUGCGAAGUGCGAUGGGAAAGAAAAGGGUUUGACUUGAACGGUUUAUUUGAUGUAUGGGUAAUCUUAUCAAAAUUGGUCAUUGUACGAACGACUGUGUAUUGGAUUCGUCCUAAUAUAUGUCAUGGUUGCUAGAACCUUUACGAUAUACUUGUUCUCAUUUUUAUUUGUAAACAUCCCG